AGGAAAAGGGAAUUCAAUUUUUUAAAUCCAAACUAAGUUUAUGUUCAUUUUCUUUGAAAUCUGUUUUAUUUUGUUUUCAUUCUGAUUUUAAGAAUAACCAAUUAAAGUCCACAGGUACUUUUAUUCAAAAUCAGGGUGUGUGUGUAUGUGCCUAUCAUGAAACUCGACACAUUAAUAAGGUUUCCAAACCUCUGUCACCAACACCCCACUUUGUUACUCCUACUAAUGGGCCCUCAUUUAAAAACACUUUCUACUUUAAACUGCAUUGAUAAAGAAACAAUUCAUUUUCCCAUUGAAAAUGUACCAAAGAUGGCUAAUUGCCAAUCAAAGCUUCUAAUCAAAAUGAGAUAACCAGGGUUCUGAAUUCUAGCUCAGGGUAAAGCAGUAGGAUACUUGAAUGUGAGCCCUUCUCAACUUUUCAUGGGAAAAGUAUGCUGUUCGAUUAUUUGAAAAUUUGACAGGAAGAUAGCUUGAAGAUCCCCAUUAUUGUUAUCAAAACCCCUAGAGAUCCAGGGACUCGGCGAACAGACUGGGGCACGGUUGGCACAAGACAGGCAAGAACCUUCUAGAACUCACCUGGGGUUUUAGUCACCUCCCUUUGCUCCCUCUUGUCCUGACCCAGCCUUGUUUUCAAUUCAGCCUCUUGUGAUCUGGCAAAUAGCUUUCUCCAUUUCCCUCAACAAAACAGGACUCGUGUUUGAUCCCCAAAUACCUCACCCUGAAAAAUGAGAAUAAUUGAUAUCUAAUACUCUUCCUCUGAAAAGGUUUUUUAUUUUUGCUGCAGUUUCUCUUAAUUCAUUUUAGAAGUGUUGUAACACUAAUUUCAUAGUUAUGUAUUUUUAAAGUGCAUUCCCUUUGAUAAAAACCACCAUGGUAAGAAUUUUAAAAAGAAGGUUACCCUCUUUUCCUAAAAAACAAUAAAGCACAGGGAUGUAAGACAAGAACAGGAUCUGCCCUGCACUAAUGCAGCAUGAAAGAACAGUUUAAAAAGGACAAGGAAAAUGGUACAUUAUCUCAUUUUGGGGGGAGUGAAGGGGAUGAAUUAAGGCCACAACAAAACGAAACUGAAAAAUUGCUAAAUGAAGCUCUGAGUGGGGAAAAUGAAAAAUCAAUGAAGGAAUGGAGGGGAAAAGGUACAUUUUUCAUCUUCAUGAUGCUUGAUUGGGUUUGUAGAAAUUCAUUUUCAAUUAAUGUGUCUUGUGGCAUUCAGCCAGGCCAGAUAUGAACAGGGCACACAUUUUAAUCAAUUUUUUUCUAUUAAGUUUGAAGUAAUAUAUAAUAAUAGAACUAUACUAUUCAAAAGGAUCGGUUGAAACUGGCUUCUGAGGUAAAAUAAUCUAAUGUGGUUUGAUUUCUAUCUUAUAUUAAAGAUAACCCAACUUCUGUUUAAGAAGAAAUAGCACCCUGGGUGCCUGAACAUGACUGGGCCAUGUAAACACCAGGAAAGGAUGGAUAAACUGGUGUUCCAAUCUGUGUGCAUUCACUGGGAAGGAAGAAAAAGGGGUGUACCGAGCACCAGGGCUUUUGCUGGCUUAGCUCAUUAUUCUCAGAAACAACCCUAAGAGUCGUUAUCCCCAUAGAUGAGGGAACUGGGGUUCCUACAGUUUCAUUGUCUGUUCAUUCCUUAACAAUCAGCUGUGAUCCCCUCUGCAUCGGGCCCAGUGCUAGAUUCCGGGAGCACAGCAGUGAGCCAGGAAGACCUGGUCUCCACUUUCGGGGAAUCAACAUCCCAGUGAGGCAGUAAAUGGAGAAAGAAACACACACAUUAGCGCAAUAAGGAAGCAGGCAGAAUGACGUUAGGUCUCCCCACCUACCAAGAGAUAGGAUGCACCUGCCGUCUGCCGACGGGGUGAGGGAAAGGUUCAGACCACAGGGCUAAAGAGGUAACCAGCUCGUUCCAGCUUGCCCGGAACUUUCUAGGUUCUAGUCUCAUGAGUCAGGAACCUUCUCAUUCGCAGGCAAACCAGGACAGGUGGUCACCCUAGAGCUCGACUCUGGCAGGGCUGAGAUCUAAACCCACUUCUCUUUGAUGACAAGGCCCAGGCUCUUCCGUUCACACCAGCCUGACGUCCAGAGGUCUAGCUUCCCUAUGACGACAACCUAUCGCGGCAAUGCUGCCUAGAAAUCAGGCCAGGCUGGGAAGAAUACUGGCAGCUCAUCACACACACACACACGCCACCUCUUCCCAGCAGAGAAAGUACAAGUGUUCUUCGAACCACGAACGAUAAAAGGAACUGCUUCCGACCCAGAGCAAGCUACCAUUUUGUCAUCUUCCAAAGAGCCAGAGACUAAAUCUGGAGAAGAGCUCGUGGGACAUGAUCUGGAAACAGUUCAAUUGAGCAGGUUCCGCCCAGCCUUGUGCUCCUCCCUGAUCUCCUGGUUCCUUUAACGGCAAGCUAAAGAACUCAGCGGGAUUCCAGACGGCUUGUCAACAGAAGAAUGAAGCCCAAGGGCAAGGACGACUGGAACUCAGCUAACACCAGAUGAUAAGAUCCAUGAGGGCAGGACCACAUCUGCCCCGCUCCCCACUGGGUACCCAGCCCCACCACAGAGAAAAUGCCGGUGGGUGACUGGUAAAUGGAUGGAUGAGUGAGUUUCCUCAUGAAUGCUAUUUUUUUCAGUCCCUCUGUAUUUUCUGGCAAACCCUUGAAAGUCUAAAAGGGGCAUAUUUGGGCUUGUGUGUGUGUGUGUGUGUGUUUUUCUUUCAGAUCCAGAACCAGUCAGAAGAACUAGUGAUGGGAGGGAGAUGACCAAUCCCUGUCUAACACCACAAAAGGAGACUUAAUUUGGUACAAAGAUCUAGCCAAGUGGGGGUAUGUGCUCCCACACUUCACGCAGGACGCUUUGUAUCUUUUCUCAAUGAACUUGACCCCAUAGGAUACAUAAUCCUUCAUUUCAAAAGGGCCCAUCCUGCCCCCUUCUUACAUGCACAAAUCCCUACUGAAAUAUACUGUCCCACACAAUGAAAAGUCAUUAUUGAGCUAAGGACUGCAACACCUACGCUGGUUAAUUUUUAUUCAAUAUGUCGUCAUCAUUAUUAUUAUUAUUAUUAGAAAUUACACUCCACUGAGGUGGAAGUAAAUAUGCUGCUUAACGUUUAAGGAUUCCAAGAACCUCAGUAAUAAUACCUGGAUGUUUUGAGCUAAAAAAAGAAGCCCAUCAUUUUAAUAAACUAACUUCAUUCACAGACACUGUGAUUCAGAUGACAGCAACAAUGGAUGGGAACUAGAUUCCUACCCCUGGUGAGUGUGAAGCCAUCACAGGGACAAGCUUUCAGACUUAACGUGAGGGAAGGAAAACUGUCCCUAACACUGGUGACACGUAAAGGUUGCCUUUAUUUCCAGGUCAAAUUUGUCUCAAUAUCUGGGUGGCUGGAGUUCACAGAUAGAAAGACACUUCUCAAGUCAGAGUUCAAGAUGCCACACAUGACUAAUUCAGCUGUCUGGAUUUUUCAAACUUUGGUCCAAAUGACUUGAACCAAUUUAAUAUGUCUUUGCUGCUUUCACUCAUUAUGCAAAGCAAUGAAAAGGCUGAGAUCCUAACAACAGGCACAGCCUAGUAAACAAUAGAGAAUUCUUUAUAUAAGGAGCUUCUAUCCCGACUUCUCUCCUCAUAAAAUGCACCCGUGAUUAAAGGCUACAUACACUUCCCAGGACAGCCAAUACUAGAAAUGUUUCCUUUAUGUUGAACAGAAAGCUGAAAUUUGCCACCCAGUGGCUCCAGCCUGGCUUUGCACUGCAACACAAACAAAAAUAUAUUCCAUCUUCUCCAUGACCGUUUUUUAAGAUGUGAAUUCACCUCUCACGUCUCCCCUUUUGCCCAUGUCUUGCCUGAGUGCUUCAACCACUCCCUGGAUUACUGUAGUUCUCAACUCCUUUCCAGCCUGAUCCUGAACAUCUCAAUGUGCUCAUUUGUCCCUUUUCCAUGGUUCUAACUUCUAAGAAAAGUAUUCACAUAAAUGGCUAGAGCAAUUGAAAUUUUAAACCAUCCUUUUGUUGUAUGAGUUAAUACAGUGUACUGGACAAAUACAUUAAUCCUUACCACCUGAUUUAAGUAGUUGUUAGUUUAAAUUUAGAAUUAAAGCUCUCUUCCUCUGUCUCUUAACUGUUGAAACUCAGCUGGCCCCUAGGUGGUGCUCAUUCUGACAGUGCCAUCCUAAAUUUCAGCCUGUCAUUUCAUGCCCAUGGCUGGGUCUUUCAGACCACAUCAUCAGCACUUAGAGAAGCUCUAUUUAGGAGAUAUUAAAUCACAGGUAGUAAAGCAAGGCAUGGACAGUGAUCUUUAUAUGCUUCCCUAUUUUCAUAUAUAAAUAUUCCCCUACUUUCAAAUUGGUAUGUCUAUUAGAGUCCGGAAGUCACUUAGAAAACAGAAUUCUAAACUACUUGAAAAUGUCUUUUAAAAAAGACCCAUCAUUAAACGCUUACAGAUGAUAACUCAAUCAGAAGCCAAGGCAUAUGAGGUUUUGUUCACUGGUUCUCUAAUAUUCGACAGGGAAACAACGCAGACAGCACCCUGCAGUGAGGCAGGAGAAAUGGAGUGCACCACAGCCAAGGAGCCCCACGGGGAAAUGAGGGACAGCCUUGCCCCAGACUUCAUGUGUGUGAAGUUCAGAAGCAGAAAAGCUAUGAUCUAACAGCCAUGGUUCCAGAGAUGCUAAAUGUGACAAAGCAAUGCUUUUCCUUGGGAAACACACUCCUGACAACUACCCAAUGCUGAUAUACGGCAAGACCUACCCAUCCCGGUUGCUGGCACUGUUCCUGCUUGGCAGUGCCAAGGAACUGUGAAAGUACAUGCGGGGUUUCCUCAUCUGAGCCUUUGUUCCCCAUUCUCUUAUUCUACUGAGCCCUGAGACUGACACACGGGCCAAUCACACUGUGUGACUGGGUUUCUCGUUUGGGAGCAGAUUUUAUCUAAUGUGUACGUUUAUCCUACACACAAUAAAAAAAAAAGGUGUAAAGGUGUCCCUGCCCAUCCUCACAA